UGCACGUGGACUUUGCUGCACCGAAGGCCAUGCGUGCGGCCUAAUGGCUAUGCUGAGUCGGGUAUUCGCAUCUCCGUGGUGGAAGGUGUUAACGGUUCAGCUGCAAUGGUAUGAACAUAAGCAAGGUGGAGUUAGGACAGAAUCAGGUCACCAUGGCAACUUUAGCACGGCACCUUAUCAGCGCAGGCCGGAUGUGAUUACAGGAUCCACUUCGAAAAUGAAGAAACGGAGCCAUAACAUACGAUGGAAUCAUCCGUCCUGCCACGUGUUCCUCCGGGCAGAUAUUACACACCGAGCGAAGAUUCGUGUGUAUUUAGAGCGACACAGUAGUGUGAAAUGUCAAGCCCUCAGAAGUUAUCCCGAUGCCCUUGUUAUGGUGCACGCAUGUGGAAUUUAUGUGCAAGACAGUCUAUGCAAGUGCUGUGCAGUCUGAUGGA